AAAAUCUUGUAUUACCAACUUUUACUUCUUCAGUUAGAGUUUUUAGACUUAUUAUAGAAGAAGAGACAAAAAUGGAAUCAAGCAAUGUUAGGGAAGUUGAAGGGGGUCUAAAAGCAGAGGAAUCCAAUAGCCAUGAAGUAGAAGCAACCUCUAACACCCAAGAAAAGUGCUUGAGUUCACAAGCGAAAGAUGCGGGUAGUAUUAGCAACAGAGAAAUGUAUUUUAGAGCAGAUAAAAUUGAUUUCAAGAGCUGGGAUAUUCAGCUAGAGAAGCACUUGAACCGUGCUUGGUCAAGGGAUGGGGAAGUUCAGACAAAAAGACAAGAAUGGGAGAUUGAUUUGAGCAAAUUGGAUAUGAGGCAUGUUAUAGCUCAAGGGACUUACGGUAUCGUGUAUAGAGGCAAUUAUGACGGCCAAGAUGUUGUUUAUUAAAGGAAUCAUCAAUAUCUAAGCAAUCUAAGGUUUAAUACAUUACAGGGAUAUUUUAGUCAUUGUAAAACAUUGUAGCUUAUAAAAAUUUUAAAAAUCUCUAAAUUCCGGUAAGUCGGUUAAAAGUGACAGGUAAGGAACAGCGUAUUUAAGAGUUGAAACGUCUGCUUGGAAACAGUCGCGGCAGCUAUUUUAGGCCACAAUCUGCCAUUCACUUUUUCUCUCUCUCAGAAAAAUCUUUCCAUCAUUUUUCCUCUUUUUCUCCAUUCAUCUGAUUGGUUCCCCUUUUAUACUAUUCAUUUUUUCUCCUCCACAAAACCCUGCUUUCGUUAUUGCGCGCUCUGUCUCUCUCUCAUGCAUCUUUUUCUGUGCUUUUUUUUUUAAUAAAAAGAAUCGUGGGUUUUUAUUUGAUUGUUCUUAGUUUUUCUAAGAAUUGUAUUUUUGUCAUUCUUUUCUUCUUUUCUUUCUUGGUUAUCUUCAAGCUAUAAUUUUUCCAUUUUUCAAAAUUUUCUUUUGGGCAAAUAAAUUUUGGAUUUUGAGUCCAUAAGUCUGACUUUGGAUUGAUAAAAAUAAACACUUCAUUCUUCUUUCUUUAGCUGCUUCUUCAUUUACAUGGUUGUAUGCUUGCUUUGUUUUACAGUCUCAGGUACAAAAUUUAGGAUCACAAAAUCUUGUAUUACCAACUUUUACUUCUUCAGUUAGAGUUUUUAGACUUAUUAUAGAAGAAGAGACAAAAAUGGAAUCAAGCAAUGUUAGGGAAGUUGAAGGGGGUCUAAAAGCAGAGGAAUCCAAUAGCCAUGAAGUAGAAGCAACCUCUAACACCCAAGAAAAGUGCUUGAGUUCACAAGCGAAAGAUGCGGGUAGUAUUAGCAACAGAGAAAUGUAUUUUAGAGCAGAUAAAAUUGAUUUCAAGAGCUGGGAUAUUCAGCUAGAGAAGCACUUGAACCGUGCUUGGUCAAGGGAUGGGGAAGUUCAGACAAAAAGACAAGAAUGGGAGAUUGAUUUGAGCAAAUUGGAUAUGAGGCAUGUUAUAGCUCAAGG
rnacentral:lncRNA from 1 species